CCUACGGGAGGCAGCAGUGGGGGAUAUUGCACAAUGGGGGAAACCCUGAUGCAGCGACGCCGCGUGUAGGAAGACGGUCCUCUGGAUUGUAAACUACUGUCCCCAGGGACGAAGAUGACGGUACCUGGGGAGGAAGCUCCGGCUAACUACGUGCCAGCAGCCGCGGUAAUACGUAGGGAGCGAGCGUUGUCCGGAAUUACUGGGUGUAAAGGGUGCGUAGGCGGGGUUGUAAGUUGGGUGUUAAAUCUACCGGCUCAACUGGUAGUCGCACUCAAAACUGCAGCUCUUGAGUGAAGUAGAGGCAUGCGGAAUUCCUGGUGUAGCGGUGAAAUGCGUAGAUAUUAGGAGGAACACCAGUGGCGAAGGCGGCCUGCUGGGCUUUUACUGACGCUGAGGCUCGAAAGUGUGGGGAGCGAACAGGAUUAGAUACCCGUGUAGUC
rnacentral:rRNA from 1 species